rnacentral:lncRNA from 1 species
AUAUGCGUGUACUCUUUAAAACAAAAUAAAGUGUUUGGUAUGUAUCAUGUGUCAUCAAGGACAGCGAGCCAUGGUCACAGGUUUCUUAUGUGAAAAUAGCCUAUUACAGAAAUGCGAAAGGUUGGGCAGAAAUGCAAGGAAAAAUUGGUAAAUUCUGGAUAGUGCAUAUAGUAGGAGCUUAAUGCACCAAACUGUCCAUAUAGUAGUGGAAUUUGUAGUUGUAAAUAUUCAUGACUAUAAAAGGACGUUAAGGGUUUAAUGGAAGUUUAUUAUGUGUUGUGGAAAAGUCUAAAAAUAGGAUAUUGAGACGUGUCAUGAGAAAUGAGAAGAGGUAAUUUUUUUUGAGAAAUUUGAGUUUACAAAUCAUUACUUAUAUUGUUUGUAUUGGUGUUUCUGUAACUGCAGGAAAGGAUCAAAGUCUGGUGCUUCAAUGAAGUGUUCUGGUUGUAGAGGUAGUGGUAUGAAGGUUUCAAUUAGACAACUUGGCCCGUCAAUGAUCCAGCAAAUGCAGCACCCUUGUAAUGAAUGCAAGGGUACUGGAGAGACUAUUGACGAUAAGGAUCGGUGCCCUCAAUUCCUUGUAAUGAAUGUAAGGGUACUGGAGAGACUAUUGACGAUAAGGAUCGGUGCCCUCAAUGCAAAGGUGAAAAAGUGGUUCAGGAGAAGAAAGUCCUAGAAGUUCAUGUUGAAAAAGGCAUGCAAAAUGGACAGAAAAUUACAUUCCCCGGAGAGGCUGAUGAAGCGGUAAGAUGACGUAUUUUCCCUCUUGUAUUCGUAUAUAUCAAUCUUACCGAAGCCUACGGUAGUUGCUUACUUGGUUAUC